AGAUCCUGAACAAUGACAUUAAAAGAAAGUCUGUGGCUCUAAAAACUAAACAGUAUAAAGACAUGCUCCAAGCUGCUGUUUCUCUCCUACUCCUCUAGGUUUUCCACUGUCGGCCAUCCAGCGAUGCUGGAGGGCUACCUGGCCAAUGCUGGCCUACACAAAGAGGUCCCGGCUCGGAGGAGCUGAAGAAGAUCCUUGCCUUCCUCGUCAGUUUCCUCUUCAGUUCCUAUCCCAACAAAACCUUCUUGCACCUAUUAGCUCCAAAGAGGCUAUGGUGCCCGUGGAGGUCUGGACCUGAGGCCUGUGCUCAUCACGUGGAUAGAAAACACUCUGACACCAUUCUGGAGGUCUGAUGGGACUCUGACCAAAACACAGAUGAAAUAAAACUUGUGGCUGGAGCUUUUAAAAUUACUUUUUCACCUCAUAGAUUAAUGCUCAUGAUUGCAUGUUAGCAAGACAGCAUCUCCCCAAGGUGAAACUCUCAGGAGACAUUUACUCUUAAACUGUAAUCUGGUUGAGACUACUUGAGGAGAUCUUAGUAGCGAGUAUGUGGAUUUAGUCUCUUCACCAACAGCAGACAGACCCAUGCCAAGAAAGCAGACAUGUUCUCAAAGAAAGCCGAGAGCAGAGAUUGGAAAAAGCUAAAAAGAAAAAGCUGCAGCUUCAGACGACUAUCUGCCUAUGUUGACUGUGACCUCAGAGGCCAACUGGACCACACAGCUGCAGCAGGAGUGAGGGAGAGGAGUCUUCAUCCAGCUUCAAAGAAAACAUCCAGUUAGAAACCCUGCAGCAACCCGACCCAAAACUGUGUCUUCUUGUUGGCCUCAACGUUGAAGUGUCAAACGUCCAACAUCUGGAAAGGAAACCACGCCAGUGUACUGUGAUGUUUCACCAACAUGUGGCAGACGCUGGUCCUGCCUUUCAUGCUGACAUCAGCAGAGAGCCCCGCCUACCUCAAAGCCUCCCCUGUCAUGUAUUGA